UACUGAGUGGCGGACGGGUGAGUAACGCGUGGGUAACCUGCCUCAUACAGGGGGAUAACAGUUAGAAAUGACUGCUAAUACCGCAUAAGACCACAGUACCGCAUGGUACAGGGGUAAAAACUCCGGUGGUAUGAGAUGGACCCGCGUCUGAUUAGGUAGUUGGUGGGGUAACGGCCUACCAAGCCGACGAUCAGUAGCCGACCUGAGAGGGUGACCGGCCACAUUGGGACUGAGACACGGCCCAA
rnacentral:rRNA from 1 species